CCUACGGGGAGCAGCAGUCGAGAAUCAUUCACAAUGGGGGAAACCCUGAUGGUGCGACGCCGCGUGGGGGAAUGAAGGUCUUCGGAUUGUAAACCCCUGUCAUGUGGGAGCAAAUUAAAAAGAUAGUACCACAAGAGGAAGAGACGGCUAACUCUGUGCCAGCAGCCGCGGUAAUACAGUGGUCUCAAGCGUUGUUCGGAAUCACGGGGCGUAAAGCGUGCGUAGGCUGUUUCGUAAGUCGUGUGUGAAAGGCGCGGGCUCAACCCGCGGACGGCACAUGAUACUGAGAGACUAGAGUAAGGGAGGGGGAACCGGAAUUCUCGGUGUAGCAGUGAAAUGCGUAGAUAUCGAGAGGAACACUCGUGGCGAAGGCGGGUUCCUGGACAUUAACUGACGCUGAGGCACGAAGGCCAGGGGAGCGAAAGGGAUUAGAUACCCCAGUAGUC
rnacentral:rRNA from 1 species